UGACUAUCAAACAUUCAGACUUAUUCAGGAGCUUUGGCAGUUCGGUUCAGAAAUAUCUCUUCCAAAUUCAAAAUUUUCUAAAUCUAUGGAGGACAAAACCGACAAACACGUCUACGAAAUGACCGUCGAGCCAGCAGAAUCGACCGUGGGCGUUGAAGUUUCAGAAGUUGCUAUUGAAGGAAGGCCGCUGGUCGAAUUCGGCUCUGAUAAAAAAUACUUGUUUUACGCUGGAAGAGCCGUUUUACAGAAAUUCCGCGAUUUCACCAUGAAACCUGACGGUCCACGUGUGGACGAUACUUAUCUGGAACAGAAUCCAUUCGAGAAGCCAAUCAGAAGGACACAAAUCCCGAUUUAUCCUGAAGAUAUAGAGAGCAUGAGACCGAUAACACCAGACGAAGAGCCUAAAUUCAUAACGGCAGGGAAAAUAAACGAAGUGAUGCAAAACCUGCCUGACAGAGAGGAAAUAUUUGAAACGAUCCACGACAAAUGCCAUGAAA